UGGGGAAUAUUGCACAAUGGGCGCAAGCCUGAUGCAGCUAUGCCGCGUGUAUGAAGAAGGCCUUCGGGUUGUAAAGUACUUUCAGCGGGAGGAAGGCGUUGUGGUUAAUAACCACAGCGAUUGACGUUACCCGCAGAAGAAGCACCGGCUAACUCCGUGCCAGCAGCCGCGGUAAUACGGAGGGUGCAAGCGUUAAUCGGAAUUACUGGGCGUAAAGCGCACGCAGGCGGUCUGUCAAGUCGGAUGUGAAAUCCCCAGGCUCAACCUGGGAACUGCAUUCGAAACUGGCAGGCUAGAGUCUUGUAGA
rnacentral:rRNA from 1 species